rnacentral:rRNA from 1 species
UACGAAGGGGGCUAGCGUUGUUCGGAAUUACUGGGCGUAAAGGGCGCGUAGGCGGCCUUCUAAGUCGAACGUGAAAUCCCCGGGCUCAACCCGGGAACUGCGUCCGAUACUGGAAGGCUUGAAUCCGGGAGAGGGAUGCGGAAUUCCAGGUGUAGCGGUGAAAUGCGUAGAUAUCUGGAGGAACACCGGUGGCGAAGGCGGCGACCUGGUCCGAUACUGACGCUGAGGCGCGAAAGCGUGGGGAGCAAACAGG